CUUAGAGAUAAUAUGAUGUGAGUAGAUCAGAGGAGAAGCAAGGGUGAAGUGCCCUUUUUCGUGAUUCUGAAGCGUGCAAAUGUAUUUAACAAUGUGGCUGCAAGAGGAGAAGAGCAAGAGGAAGAUUUCAGGGCUGAUUAGUGUCCUUCCUCAAGAAAUGACACAAGUUUUAAGUCCAACAUCAGCAAUGAGACAAGGCCUGGGUCUUCUCCAUUUCAGGUACAAUGAAGAAUUCCGUCAAACCUAAGAAGACUGCAUCCCGAAGGAGUUGAAUCUGCAAAGAUGCUACUUCCCUCAGCAGGAGCUGGGAACUUGUGCAUUGCUCACAGAUAAGUUGAAACCCUGACCAAAAAAAAAAAAAAAAAAAAAAAAAAAAAAAAAAAAAAAAAAAAAAAAAUUGUCAUCAACGGAAAAUCAGUUUUGGUAUUACUGAAAAGAUGGUUAUUCCACCAUCAAUACUAUGCAUGGUGUAGCACGUACAUGUUUCUUUGUUGCUGAGUGGUACAAACUAUGUAAGGCCUGAUCUAGUACAAUACUGCAGUUUAAUUCUGUGUUUGUAGAGAUUACAUUUUUUAUAUCGAGACAUUUAGGCGUUUACUUGACGUGGAUGUUUUCCAAAAGCUAAGAUGAAAUAAUGAAAAAUGAUUUUCCCAAUCUAUUGCAACUGUUGUAAGGAAUGUAACAGCUGGUGAUCUACAGUUUAGUGACAGAUGAACAGACUGAUCUAUUCACCUGCAGAGUGUAGAUAAAAAAUAAUAAGAAAGGGAGAAUUUAAAUAGUAAAUAAAAGGGAGAAGGUGAAAGAUGUGCAACAACAUAUUCUUGUGUAAUUAAGUUAGAAAUUUUGAUCAGCGAUUAAAAUAAAAGCUGAUGUUGAAGGAGUUAGAGCAAAAAUUUGGUAAAAUGAGCUGAGACUACAGUUGGUAAGAGAGGAAAUCAAUUUGUGCACUUCUUAUGAGUCAUUUCCUUGCAAACUUACUUGCAGAUAAAAGUUGUUUUAAAAUACCAAUAUGGAUAUAUAGGCCGUGUUUUUGUGUUUUUGAUUUUGGAAUAGAGUCUUAAUCUUCUGGGCAUAUGUGGAUGGAAUAAAACACAAACACCUGAAAUUAGGUCUGAAGGGGGAUAAGAUAUCCACAUGAAUUUUGCCAGUGACCUUCUUUCAUGUAAACCUGCUGCUGACCAGGGUGAAGUGACAAACAUGCCCCCUUUAUUGAAUCUUGAAGCCGGGGGAGAGAUAAAACACACACCAAAUAAAUAAAUAAAUCUUAUUUCAGAAGGUAUUCUAACUACUUUCUCUCGGGUGUGAAUUUUAAGGAAUGAUUAUGUAGCCUUUCACACUGGAGUUUUAUAUCUUGGACUCAAGUUGAAUUCCCUUACUCUGGUUUGGACAUUUUUCAUCCUCUCUGUUAAACCUAUGCUUUGAAACAACAAAGACUGAUAGGAUGAAUCUUGGCUGUCAGUGUGCAAAAAGGGGACACUUAGGAUAUAAUUAUUCUGCUAUUUCUUUGAAAAUACUUUCCUAGUUACUUGAAGGAUAUAGCUUCCAAAAUUAUUGUGAUUCUCAUUUUCAUUACAAAACCAUCACCACCACCACCAAACAAUCCCAAGAGGAACAAAAGGGAAGUAUAAACUAUUCCCUAUUUAAUAUGCAACACAAUUAGAAAAGCAUGUGCCAUAUGGCUUUGCUUUCCUUCAGAGAAGUUCUGUGGUGAAGCAGACUAGAGCUUGCUUUCUUUCCAAGAUGAUAUCAAACUGUAAUUCUUCCCUAUCCAAACUUUCUUUGCAUUAUACUGAUAUAAACAUUUUCUAAAUACUGAACAGGUCAUAUUUGUCAUUCACUGAGUUUUCUGGGCCUGAGCCAAUGUCUCUGCAGUGAUGCAAGUAUAUCCUUCCCUAGCUGCAUGUUACGUGCUCUGCAUAAAAAACUGACAAAAAAGAUACUGCAUGCAGUUAUACUAUAUAUUUUUUCUGUCUCUGCUCAGAUAUGUUCAGAAGACUGCUCAAAGGCAAUAAGCACUCAGUGAGAAACCUUUUCAUGCCAAAUUUGUGCCCUCCAGCCCAGCUGUUUCAGUUGUAAAUGUCUUUGGAAGAAGUUCACAACAGCAACCAUUUUCAUGAAGAAAAGGAACUCGGUCAGACUGUCCUUGCAGAGGAGUUUGUUCUGGAGGAAAGCUGCCUGCCACCUGCCUUCCAAGGAACUGCCAGCUUUACCUGGAGAAAAUAGCCCAUCUGCUAAGUUAUACAGCUCUUUCAUUCUUCAGCCCAGGUUACUGGUGAAGAUUUUAUAUGUACAGCCUUGUUUUUAAUACUUCCAGCUGUUCAUUUUUCCUGUGAAAGGAAAUCCCUGGAUAGAGACACAACAAUCCUGAAGCUUUGUGUCUUGUUAUAUAAAUAUUGCUGAAAGGAUUCAUUAAGACACCAUAAAAUACUAGGGGAGGAAGGAGAGGAAAAAAAAAAAAAAGACCUGGUUUUCCUGAAUAUUCUUUCCAUUGUCAAACAACACAAUUCAGACUAAAUCUGACAUGGUGGGCUGGAUGACUAAAGAGGACAAGUAGCAUUUGCAUAUUUUCAAUCCAGGUGCCUGAUUCAAAUGCUCCACUGAAAGCCAUUGCUCCCGGUGGGUUUUGUAGCAGCCUUCUGGAAAUGGAACUGGGACUUUUGGUGAGAAGGAACUGAUAGCACACCACAGCCACAAACUGAUUUGGUUUUGAAUGCAAGCAGAAAAUUCCGCCUGAGUGUGGUUUCUCUUGACUGACACAAGAAGCGUGUUACUUUUUCAUGGGUAGCAUUCACACACCCAUAAUAUCUGUGAGAAUCUCUACUUUAAAAAUUCAUUUUAAUGUCACUUGUGAGAGCACUUUCAGGCCAAGCAAUUCAUACUAAGUCCAACUUGAGAAAACCAAUCCUUCUGAAGAAAAAUGAGCAAAGGAAAUAGCUACUUAUAAUACCACUAUCAACCGAAGAGAAAAAAAAGUAAAGACUUUGGCUCUCAUCUAUCAAACCCAAGCAUGCGGUACUCUCUCUGGACACAGAUGUGUUAUAGUGUAAUGAUUCUGAAGAUAUUUGGUCAGCCUUCUGAGGUCUGCAGGAGGUAAUCAUUCAAUAACGGUGCUAUCAAUAAUACUUAUGAAAAAUCAAGCUUAAUGGUUGUCGGAUGGUGUUUUAUAACACUAGCAGAUAAAAACAGAAGUGCGUGCUGUGCAGGCUUCUUGAAGAAGGCUUCCAGUAUGGAAGAAGUUGAAAAUGGACAUGAGAGAGAAUAGGAGGAAAUGCAGUAUGGUACUUUCAGAAGUAAUCGGUCAGGAGAUAAUUAUUGCAAACAUAGAUACUUAGUGGGAGGAAACUGCGCAGAAGGCAGAAAUGACUGAAAUGACGUCGAGAUGACAACACAUUUAAAAAUGAGGAAUUGAGGAGUGAGUGACCGGCUGUUUUGCUGAGCUGCUUGCCAGAAGUGCUUAAAGGACUGGCACAGUUACCUCCCAUGAACCUUCUCUUCUAUCAAGUCACAGCUGAGGAUGGUGGGGAGCACAGAAUUGCCUUCCCUCUCCCAGGAACGAGGACCAGGACAUAAAUUGCCAGACACUGAUCACAGACAAAGGGCCAACAUUUUCUGAAGGACCUCAUCCAAUGGACACCGUGAGUCUUCAGUGAGCUCUGCAUCAGGCCUCUAUCAUGCUCCAGCUUAUUUCACAGGACCUAUGGCAGACCCAAGUCCUCGGCUUCCCAACCUCAGCUUUCUCAAACAAAAAAGAUAAUGGAAAUAGGGAAGAAUCUCAGAAAAGUGGAAAACUCAGUUGUCACCCUGAUUAUGGAUGGAGAAGAACCUGUGAAGUUCAGGCUGAAAAAUGGAUGGAGUGUCCAAGAUGGGUGCCUUUAAAACAGAAGACAAAGCAACAAGAGGAGAAACCCCAAAUUGUCACCAGUCUCUGCAAAUGGAUUUCAACUAUAAGCAGACACGUUCUUGAACUCAUAUCAGAGGAUUUGUUAAAUCCUGAUACUUCCAUGAAUUCAAACAGGAAACAAAGUCUGUGCGACACAGAUGUAAUCAAAUGGAUGAAACCUCAGUUAUGAAACCAACAAAGAUGGAGUCUUAGGAGCAAAGAGUAUCUUCCCUUUUAUCUGAGAUAAAAUCUGUCUCAGGUUCUGCAAUUAAGUGCUCAGCUCCACCUGCUCCUUCUGCCUUUUCCUGCAUCCUGACCACUUCAUUUAAAGCUCAUGAUUCCCAGCAGAGAACUUAAGAAAACUCUCUUUGCUAAGAGAAUGGAAGAAUGGAGAGCAGAAGCCCAUGGUGUCCUGAGAAAGUGACCUGCUGGGGACAGAAAAUGUGGUGGAGGACCUUGAAAGCAAAAUCAUGAAGGGAAAUGUGCUUUGUCCCAGUGGCAGAAGUCACAACCCAGCCUCUUCUGUUACUGAAUUUAUUGGACUCAGUGCAGCUGCCACAUAACCAGGUGAAUUUUGGUAUUGUCAGUGCCUAAAAGGCAGAAUACACAAAAUAAAAAGGCUGUGAAGAGGCUAUAUAGAUAUUAUUUUUCUACAGAAAUUAUUUUGUUGUUCUUUAUGGCUGCAGCUGGAAGGAAACAUGUUUCAAAACACAUAAUCCAAAGGCUCAACAAAGAGGAGAAGUGCUGCAGCCCUUUUAUCAUUCUCGUUGUCCUUUUCUGGACCUGAUCCAACACCACCUCAUCCAUCUCAUGCUGGGGGCUCCAGGCCUGGAUGAAGUACUCCAAAGAGAUCUUCACAACAGCAGGGUGGCAGCAGAGGAACUGUCUGACAAAGUGGUAUCUGACAUGGAAGUGUGUAUGAAGCAAAGGUGUGUCAUUGAAUUCCUUUGUGUGAAAAAAAUGAUACCCUCUGACUUUCACUGACACUUGCUGAACGUUUCUGGAGACCAACCAGUGGAUGUGAAUGCAGUGAGAUGGUGAGUGGUGGUGUUUUAGCAGUGGUGACAGCAACUCUGGUCACCUCCACUGAAGCAGACUUUUAUGAACAUGGCAUGCAUGCUCUUGUUCAUUGUUCACAAAAAUGCAAAGCUAAUGGUGGUGAAGAUAUUGAAAAAAUUGUGUUUUGUAACUGAGAAUCUGCUCUAUCAAAUAGUACUAAUGAGCUUUUUCUAGCUGUUGUAGUUUCUGUGGAAAUAAAUAGAAUGCAUUAUUUUUGGAGCGAUUUACAUAUUUUGAGGUUUGCUUUUUGUAGUUUUGGAUUUAAUGCUCCUUACUGGUCUUCAAAAAGCAGAAGCUUCUAUUCAUUAGAAGUACUUCAAAAUCAUAUUUCAGAUCUGUUCAAAAUGCAGAAUGUUAAAGAAUAGGUAAAAAGCACUGUGAAAACGGGAGGUUAAGGAAGAUGUGAACUGUUUUAUUUAGACUUGAUUGCAUUUUCUUAAGCAUAAAGAGAAGAUUAAAAUCAAGUAACUCAAGCCUUUAUGCAGUUCGUCUUUGGGCACAGGGUAUAGGUAGAAGCAGUACCUGAGAUCACUGUGUCACUGAAGCAGCCUGGAGAGAGCCGGUGUCAUUUUGUUUCAAUGCAAACCAUCUUCUGGCAGCACAUGCCCAUCUGUUAACCCUACGGCUAAGAGUCAGGUCUGCAAAAGUAAUAAAAAGAUGCAACUCCUGUUUUCUAAUAUGAUUUUCACCCCUUCAGUCAACUCAAAGAGCCUUUUGGCUGCCUGAAAUAUCUAACAAUAUGAGAAACAGCUAAUGAAAGCAAGGGGAGAGAGAAAGAAAAACAGCAGUCAAAGGGAGAAGGAGGACAGGGACAAGAAAAGAAAAAGCCAGCAUGUUCUUACAGAACUUUGGGUGGGAGGUGUUGCUGUUCAUUUUGUUGUUGGAAUUUUUACGGAGGGAGGCUUUUGUGGAAAGAUCUCUAGGGAAGAUCAAAUGUUAUUGAGGAGAUGAAAAAUAGCAGUACUGAUUAUUUUACCAGGAUCUCAAAAGGAUAACUACCAGUUUUAAGAGCAGCUGGAGGAGCGAAUGCUUCAUUCUGAAGAUGACAACCAGGAGGCCUGGAGUGCACUAAAGCAACCACCAGCAGUGCCUGGGAGAGCAGCAUACUGUCAGUGUGAGAAGGUCAGAUGCCGGGGCAUGAUUUUCUGGGGCUUCACAUCCACAAGAUGGUGUUACAGCUUCGCUGGACAGGCAGAGGAUACAGCUUUGAGGAGAGGUAUAGUACUUCUUGACAUUGAGAUCGAGACAAGAUUUGCAGAUAUUGGGCAAGACAGCAUUUGGUAUGCAAAGCACUGAUGUAACGAGCUCCUGAGAUUGUUCUGUUUAACAAACACUCUGCUGGGAUUUUUUUGGGAUCAAUUGAGCUUGUUAGCACAUGAAUGCAAGACAUUCAUAAAUUAGUAGUGAAGUUCUACCUGGAUUUUCACCCAGAAAGUUAGCUACUUGGAAAGCAAGGACUAAAGCAGUAUCUAAAAUAGCACAGAAAAAAGAAGGUGCAGCAACACACAGUUGUUUUGGCUCCUCUAUCCCUGGUUUGCUGUCAGUGUGAUGAGAGUGCAAGAAUCCUCCUUAAAGGUUCUAAAAUGGACUCAGUAUGAUGGAUGGAAAGCACCUUCAUCUGAUGAUGCUGAAGGAGACUGUGGAUUCCAGCUGCAAGCCAAUCCUGUGGUUUGCAGUUCAGCGAGAAUUUGGUUCACAUGCCACAUUCAGCGGCCAAGAGAACUAAAACAGACAUUUUUUCCCCUGAUUCAUAACUUCUUGAUUCUCUGAGUGGAUACCAUCCCCUGUGUUAGAAGGUCUGUUUGCAUGACCUAAGAAAAAUCCAGAAAAAAAAAAAAAAAAAAAACGAAACACAAAACAACAGUGACAUCAUGAAGAGGUAUUUCAUUUUGUCAUAAAAUCCACUGAAAGCUGGGAUUUCUUUUCAAGUAUUUACAAGAGACUAUGAAUCCUUCACCUCUCUGGUGCAUAAUUUGUGUUCCAGUCUCUGAGUUCUUCUAAGUAAGAGAUACCUCUGUUCUGUACAUCCUAUAUCUGCAGUCACUUGCAGGAACUUAUUAACCAGCUAUGCAGUAGAGCUUGCAAUGUAUUUUCUUUCUGUACUGUGGAAGCCAUCAGUUUUCAAACUCCUGUAAGACCAGAAGAGCACUCACUGUGGCAGCAUAAAACACAAAGGUCUGGACUGCCUACUCUGGGAGAUCAGUGCCUUCCAUUUCUGUCAGGUACCAAUCCUCUGUUGGUAAGGGGGAAAGGGGGACUGUGUAUGGCACUUUGUUCAACCCAUGCCAGAUUCUCUACUCACUGCUAAACUGUAGGUUACCUGCUGUUACAGGGAUCAUCUACAGAAGAUCCAUGGCUAUAUUCACCUUGUAAGACAGCUCUUUUUGCUGGGCUAACUUCUGUUUCUUAUUUUUCUGCACAGUAGCUUUUAUGCAGCAAACUGAAUUGCUGAAAGUUGGAGCUGAACUUCACAGUUAAGUCUGCUCUUCUAGUCUACAGUCUAUAAUGCAUGAUAUUUCCUUUCUUGGUUUCUUAUUUGUUUUUCAGCCAUCAUACUGCCUACUCCCUUAUGAUCCCCUUUAAGAAUAUAUGGUCAUGCUUUUCUUAAAACAUUCAUAUCACUUAAAAAUUCAAUUACUUCUAUCAGUACAAAGAAAAAAAUCCCACCUUUUUUUUUAAUCUCUUUUUUUCUGGCAGGAUUUCUUUCCAGGGCUGAGGUGUCACCUCUGAAUUAAGUUCACAAAGGACAAACCAAUUCUGAACAUACUUCUAUAAAUCCUCGUGGGACACAGUAUGGGGGCCCUUCCAGGAUGUGACCUUUAGAUAUUGACAGAGGAGGUGUAUAUGCGUGUAUUCUCAUAUGAUGGCAGCAGAGGGGCAGACUGACGGAAUCCAUCGGAAGCAAGGGUGUGCCACUGAAUUCCUCCAUGCAAGAAAAAAUGCCACCCAUUGACACUGAUCAAUGCUUGCUGAAUGUUUCUGAAGACCAACCUGUGGGUGUGAGCACAAUGAGGUGGCUUUGGGAUGAGGAGGAGACAGAUGUGAGAGCACAUGUGAAGGCUGGCACUUGCUGUGGGACAAGGAGUCACAGGCAGUCUGCGGUGCUGCUGGAUUCCACUGACCUAACCAGUGUUGUUCAGCUCCAUUAAUGCUUUUUGAUUUGGAAGCACAAAUGAUUUCAGCAUCAGCCUGUGGUGGUGGUAUGUUCAACGAGAUAAGUAUUAAACAAGGAACCACUGAAAAACAGUAAAUUUAAAACCAUCAAAAAGCUUCAAGAUUCUUCUUGGAUGAGAUCCUUGUUAUCUUGGAUGUGUAAAUCCUACUGCAACUCAGUGACAGUCAAACUUACUUGUUCGCACCUUCUUUAAAGCUAUGGAAAACUUUGCUUGCUACAGAAAUUACGAAGUUAAAUAUACCUUCAGAUUUCUGUGGAUAUAAACCAUUUCUCCCUGAAUUUUGUUGGCCAGAUUGAAUUUCUCUUUUUUUUUAGGGAAAUAUGCAUCAUUUGGUAUUAACUUAUUAGGUGGUGGUACUUGGUAAGUAAAUGUAUUUUUAAAAUUUUACAGAAUAUUUCUUUCAAAAUAGCUGUAAGAUAUUGAAAUAACUAUUUUAUAACACCUCCUAUCAUGAUUGAAUGGAACAAAAUAAUGUCUGAUAUUGUCUAUCUGAGUAACUUCAUCCUUCUUCCAAAUUUGCUGAAUGAUCAUUUACUGUUUCCCAUUUCAGAUGAUCGAACAUUUCAUUGAUGAAGCUCAUAAAAAACUUAUUCAAAACCAUACUGAAAUUCAAUGACAUAUCUGAAAAUUAAAUGUUUUUUGUGCACGGACCAACCAUAGGUUAUAUCAGCAAGAUCCUUAUGUGAUCAAUUAGUGCUCCAAAGACAAACCUCUCUCCAGGAGUAAAAUAUGAGCCCCAGUCCUGGAGGGGAUUAACCCUCAGUUCGAGAAUAGUUAUUCAUUCCUGUAAUUGAAUACAAAAGACAUAGGGAUUGAUUUUCACCUAUACCCAAAUUCAUGGCUCCUGGGAGGGUAUGAGCUGCUGACAAAUAAUUUCAGCUUCAGCCAUUGAUUAUGCUUCUAUAGUGAACAUUACAUAUACAGUAAGGUUGAUAUAAUAUAUAUUGCUGGAGUAAUAUAAUAUAAGUACUCCCCAUUUCUUAACCUAUCUUUCACUACCCUUAAGCUGUGCCGUGCACAGGAGAUGUAGAAUUCGGCUUCCUAGGAAGGAAAUGGCCAUGAAGCAGAAAAAUGAAUUCACCCUCAUUGUAUUGUAGUGAUGUGGUGAAGAUAAUCACUGCAGCUUUAUUCCAUUUAUUUUGAAAGAGAAAGCCUUUGCCUUUUCAAACUGCCUUGACCAUAUCACCACUCAUCUAUUUGCAAUGAAAAUCUGACAUCAGAGUACAGAAUUAUAGCUGGAGAAAUUGUCUUCUCAUUUCAUAUUUACCUUGUUUCCUCUCCUGAGUCACUGGAAAUGCAGCGACCUAGGUCCGUGCUUUUACACUUUUUUUUACUAUAUAUACACACGUAGAUAAAAAAAUUAGUGUGUGUGUACUGCCAAACUCUUCAGCUCACUACUCAUCUUCCCAGGUGUCUUCACACACCGUAAUUUCUGGUGUUUAAAAUUGGUAGACUGCAAAAAGUAGCACUCCUGCGUUCCCUCUCAUUCAUAUUGUGAAUAUUCAGUUCUCCAAGAAUUUUGCUGCUGGUGUCUGACCAGCCAAGCCCAUAUCAGAAUCGGCCACAGUCUAAUCAUAGUUUUUACCAAUUAAAACUUGUGUGCUAUAAUUUGUUUUUGUUUGUUUGUUUGUUUGUUUUGAUAACCUAAAGCAUAUUCUACUGUUUGCUGUUAAAAUAAAAUCCUUUCUGUUUACCUCCUCAUGGCUCACUGAAAAAAAUAUAUGCUUACAAUUGCAGCUUUCAAAAUGUUUUUUAUUUCUUCAGAUUUCUACUACAAAGCUUCAAUGUAAUCAAUAAUUCUAACUAGCUAUCUGACAGAGUACUUAACUUUAUUUUUCCUAAUAAAAACAAAUAGUUGGAGAA